GAACAGGUGUUGCGCGGUAUUCAGCUCACCAUCAACGGAAUUUCCGCGGGGCUGCGCAACAGCGGCUAAAAUCAAAAACAACGGGAGGUAUCGAUGACCGAGACUGACACCAUUCUUGUGGAGCACGAAGGUCCCGUUACCAUCGUUUCAAUCAACCGGCCGGAGCGCAAGAAUGCCGUCGAUGGCGCAACGGCGCGCCGCCUGUUCGAUGCC
rnacentral:misc_RNA from 1 species